UUUUGUCCAAAUAAAUAGCCUUGAAGCAGAGAAAACAGGAUCUGAAGAACUUUCAUUUUGUGGAUUGUUCCUGCUUAAGGGUGUGCUGAAUGAGACCAAGCAGAGGAAGGUGGUUUAUUCAGGCUUGUUCUGCACAGAGCUCUCCUGCACAGCAGCCCUGUGAGAGUCUAUGUUAACAUGUGAGAUAUCUGGAUCACUGAUAGUAAUGUCACUGGCAAUGGUAAGUGCAGAUAAAGUUGUUCUAAGGUCUUUGCAGAACUCACUGUAAGCAGGAGGUGGGACAUGGAGCUGUGCUGCAAGUUCCUGAGAAAGGUACCCACCAAACACCUUGGUUUUGUACCGAGUGCUUUCCAUCAGAGUUUCAAUUAAAGUAAAAGGAGAUUAAAAUGAAAGCACAAAGUCAAUCAUUGAAUUUAAUGCAUCAUCUAUUUGCUUUACAUUUUGAAAAGUAUGAAGUGCUUUACAUUUUGUAAAGUAUGUUGUGUUCUCCCAGCAUAGUCACUGCAGAAAGCAAAUUCUGGAACACGGUUGCGGGAAGGGGUAAAGGAAACACAGACCUGAGAAAAUGGUUACUCUGACAGUCCCUGAUACCUGAAACAUUUGUUUUAGUAUAAUUAAGAUAAGCUCGCAGCAAUAAAAUCAAUGGUCCUGCGGUGAACUAAUGAGGAAAAGUGUGAGAAGACCUGCUUAAUAAAAAAUGGAAAUUACUUGUCGUGUGAAGAGCAGUUACCACUUCCAGAUUGUGCAGGCUCUACUUUUCUGUGCAGUCAUUAGUAGAGUACAUUCAUGCACCAGCACUGUUUACGCUGCAGUUUGUUCCUGUGUCACCUUUCCCUCUGUGGACGGAAGGCCGUGAGUGCCAUCCUGGGCCUCGUCACUGCAGACAGGGCGACACCGAGCAGGUCCCGCACGGGGAGCUGAGGACAUGGCCACAAAAAUCUGAGUCCCCUCAUUGAACAGCCAGAUCUGUCUGAGGAACAGUUAUGGCCAGAUGUAAUUAAUGCAAGGUAGCUCCUUGGCAGUGCAAAUUUAUCAGAGUAAACAGAUGUAAACGACACUGUUUGUCAUUUACCAGUCUUGAGGAGGAAAGUUUUAACUGCCAAAGGGUAAGAAAAUAAUCAGUAAAGAGAAUAUGUAGAGAAGCAUAAUGCAGUUUCAUCUGUUCCAGAUCCAAGAUUCUUUCCUGAAGUCCAGGGGAAAGUGCAUCCUUGUGACUGAAAUCCAAGGCUCAGGAGUUCGUGUCCUCACUGAAGCCCCACAGCAGAACUGUACUUCAGGAAAGCAAGUCCUGGGCAUACCAGGUGUUUGCAGCAUUGAAGAGCUCCAGCCCAGCACACGCCAGAGACAGCCCAGAGCUGGAGGGGAGGUUUGAGAUGGUUCUGAAACUGGACAUACAAAGUGUCCACGGAUUCGUCUUCCUCUUCUCUCGUUUAACAGAAAGCACAGGCCCGACUCUUUACACAUCUCCUGUAAGUUACUGCAUGAACAUUUACAUUUUCACAUUCAGAUCUUACACAAAAGUAUAUAUGGAACCCUGUAACCCUUCCAAAGUGAUGUUUAAUCUGACUAUUAUUUGUGGGCUUGUUAUCAGGUUUGGGCACUGCUACACAAGUGCCUCAGUGAUUUCACACUGUGACCUGGCUUUGUAGGAUGGGUUAAUUACUAUGUUUACAUUUCUUUCUUCUCUUAAAUUAUAGAGUUGAUUUUACUUUUCUUAUGAUGGCAAUUUUAUUGUAAGGUUUUACUUCUCCUUUACUGUGUAUGAAAUGGAACACUGAGGUGCAACCAAAAUUACCCUUGUAAUUGCAGCACAGUGAAUAAGUAUGUGCAAGAGAAUAAUCUUGUAAAAGCUGAUUACCUUGGUUAUUAAUAAUUAGGAUUUGUGAGUUAAGUAAUAUGGAGCAGCUAUAUCCAAUUCCUUGGCAAUUUCAUGUAGACAGCUGAGAGAUAAUUUUAGAAAUAAUCCAGUGUGAAAUCCCAAUUGACAACUGAACCAGCAUUUUAGGGUCUGCCUGUGGCUUCUCCCUGUGCUUUGGCUGUUUAAAGCUGGAGUGGCAAUUUGCAGUUUUCUUUCGUCUGUGGGACAUAAAAAUUUGCCUAUUUUAAUUUCUUUGUGCUUUAUUUAAUUUGAUUCUUAGCAAAAUUUUUGUUUUCCCUGGGAUCUCCUGGGAGAAGAAUUAAUAUAUCUGAGGUUUGUAUGCAUGUACCUGGGGUUGGCUGUUCCUUAUGUUUCCUUCUGUAUUUUUGUCUGAUGGUUUAUUACCUACUAAACAGGCUUAGUGUAAAUAAUAUUUUUAUACCUUUGAAAAUAUCACAGAGCACUUCUAAUCUACUCUAUUCUUUUCUGAUUUGGUGAUACACAAACUCUUGCAAGUCUGGAGAGAACAGUUACAAAUCUAAUGGUUUUUUGGCCCUUCUGCAAGUUUAUCCAGGAGCCUAAGUGGGUGCCCAUUCAUAAAAAACCAAGUAAUUUUGUUGAGCACUCCCCAAAACUCACUCCUCCACCCCCAGGAGUUCUCCAGUCCUGCACCUGCCAGGCACUUACCAUACAUCAUCCCUGGUGAGUCCAGGCUCUAAUCAAAGCUUUUGGGAUUGCUCUUUCAGUUCAAGUCUCAGCAGAAAUCAAGUCUGCAUCUCACAGGUGAUGAAAGGAGGGCCCUGCCAGUCAGGGGUGAGGUAACUUGCUCAGCCUAACAAAGCCUUCCCUGCUCCCCCCUGCAGAGUGUUUCCUGAGGGCCACUCACGUGGAAAUGACCCGAAUGGUUCCCCCCGGCUCCAGCAGCAGAGCUCUGCGGGAAGGGCAGGACUAACACAGCAGGGAUGAGCUGUGUCCUUGGGUGCCUCCUGGCCCAGCUCCAGAGCUCUGCACUGCAGAGUCCCAGGCUGUGGAGGCAGAGCUUGGGCUCCAGGGUCUCCAAAUAUUCCAGAUGUUACUGUUCUGCCAGUCCAGAGUGGAUGUGUUAAUCACAUGGGAACAGAAUCAGGCCUAGGUUUUGUCUUUCAUGCACUUGAGGGAAGCCUGAAAAGCAGUUUAGCUUUGUGAUGUAAUACCAGGGAAGUAUUUAAAAUUUUAUUUUACAUUCAUGUCCAAUGUGACAUUUAAUAGUGGAGCUAAAUAAUUAUUCAUGCUAAAUGCUCCACAUGCUCUGACAAGAUGUUUUUUAAAACAUAGGGAUCAUUAUUUUUUUCCAAUGGAAGCAGAGCAGAUUUUAACUGCAGAGGAGCAGGCAGUGAAGCAAGGGCAUGUUGUAAUUAUUAUUACUGAAUGUAAUAGAACAGAAAAUCAUCCAUGUCACUUCUGUCAGGGACUCUGCUGAGGCUGUGCCUUGUGGAGCACAGGGACCCCUGGCUGGGCUGCCAGAGCACGUGUGCCAUGAUGGAAGAAGACAAGGCCUGUGCAGCCGCCAGCACAGGAACAUAAGCAUGCCUUUGUUUUGCUUUUUAAAACUUACUCUGUUCUCCUCAGAUGUACGGUGAACUUACCAAAGUCACAGUUAAGUUCACCAUUUUUACAGACACAGUGUUUCCGACUGAUGUGUCAGAAUUCCCAGCAGAUUCAUGGUUUACGUCCUAUUUUUUUACCACAAAGCUGCUCCUUUCCCAGCUUUCUCCCAGCACUCCAGCCCGAGCCAGGCAGGUGCAACGUGUUCCCUAAUGAACGGGCAGGUGGGGGGCACAGGGGCCCCGCGAGCCUCUGCCUGGGCGGGCACAGUGAGGUGGGACACAGGGAUGGCACCACUGCACAGCCCAGGUGGGACACGGGGAUGGCACCACUGCACAGCCCAGGUGGGACACAGGGGAUGGCACUGCCGCACGCGACUGCCGUCGUGGCCACGUGUCAAGGGGAAAUUCCAACCUUUUUCCCAUGUGGUGGGUAUGGUGGGUCCUGCAGCCCGGGGCUGGGGCAGCGCUCUGCCGCCAGCCCGCCCUGCCCGCGGCGCUGCCGUAACCCUGCGGUGAGUCAGCCCAGCUGCCGGCACCGCGCUCACCCUGCGCCCUCGGGGCGGCACAGCCGGGACCCCGCUCCUCCCGCCACCUGCGGGCAAGGGAGAGCCCCGGGCCCCCGCUCCUCCCGGUACCUGCGGG